GCUAGCACAAAAUGUUUUCAUAUAUCUCUUAAAGGUGAAUAAGUGGAGUGCCGGUGGUUAGGUUUGAACCCCGGCUUCUGCAUAAUAUAUGUCAUGUCCCUAUCAAAUGAUGCUAACAUUGAUGACAGGGAGAAAGAUGGUAGCUGGAAGUAAUAUUGGCGGAAUGAAAGAGACUCAAGAGAUGAUUGAUUUUGCUGCUAAACAUGAUGUAAAACCUAGCAUUGAAGUCAUUCCUAUGGAUUAUGUUAAUAUUGCAGUGGAGCGACUCCUCAAAGCAGAUGUCAAAUAUCGAUUUGUGAUUGACAUUGGAAACACUCUCAAACCAAGCUCUCAACUCUAGUGUCUAAAGUUGGGGAACUUUCAAAACAAAUUGAGCUUCAUAAAUUAUGGAUAUUCCCUAUGUUAUUAUCUACUCGUAAUAAAGUUAGGACCUGUGUUUCCGGGACACUGUUUAAUGGUAUUUUUCAUUUUUUUUCUACUAUGUUGGUCUAUUUUGAAUGCUAUGCUUUGGUAAAUUAACCUUUUUUUUUUGUAAUGCUUACAAAUUAAUACAACUAAAAAAAAUGUCAACUACCAAAAGCUCUCGGAAGUGUCGCGGUGAUUUUCGGAGAUCAAAGAUAUUGAUUAAUUUUGACUCGCAAAAUAAGAAGUCAUCACUGAACUUUAAUUUUUUCAAGGGAAGGAGGAAAAGAUCGAAUAAAACCCACAAAUAAACAUGCAAAACUAAAGAAGCAAUAAAAACAAGCAAUGCAACAAGAGAUCAAGGUACGGGGGUUGAUUAUGCAAAGGGAAGAUAUUAACACCCUAAGCUAAUAUAGUAUUUCAUCCGGCCUUAUUUAUAAGCAAAAGUCAACAAAAACUUUUGGCCUUAAAUAUAAGCAAAAGUUACCAAAAUCAAGUUUAUUUAAUGCUAUUCUUCCAAAAGUAUUUUUAUUAAUUGUUCUACUUUUAAAAAUGAUUGUAAAUUUUCAAUGCAAAUUUAAGGUCAUUUCAGAAAUUGUAAUAGAAAUUUUACAUCAAGACAAAAAAAUAACUUCUUAAUUAGUGUGCAAAUGAGCAUAUUUGCUUAUAAAAGAAGCCGGAUGGAGUACUCUAUAGGAACCUUUUUUGUAAUACAUAUAUUUUUGGGUAAAGUUGUUUGCUUGUAAAUGAUUGGGGAGAUGAGAAAAGAAAUAUCUUUUUGUUAAUUUUUUAUUUGGAAAGACAUGAAAUUCUUAUGCCUACGUACCAAUGAAGGAUCAAAACCUGAUAGUUCGGGUUAAAAAUAACAAAAGUGGUUUGUUUGAUUGUUUUUUAGGAGAAGAGAAGAGUUGUCAUCUUAAGUAAGACUCUUUUAAUCCACCACAUACAUGAUGAUGGAUCUUUGCUUCACAGUAGGAAAGAGCUCCAACUUGAAUAUAAAAUCAAGAAGUAUGCCACUAACUCUCCUAGGUGAAAAAAAAUCAAUAUCUUUCGAUCAAAUGUUAUGGUGAAUUUGAAUUUUCAACCAUAGAUACUCAUGUCUAAACUCUUUGAGAAAAGAGUUUUAAAGUUAAAAGCCAACUGGGAAAAAAGUUUGAGUGAGUCUUAUAUUUUUUUUUAGCUUUUUGAAAAUGUUUAGAUAUGCUUAAGUAUGUUAAAUCAUUUAUUGAAGAAAAAAAAGAGUUGAAAAUCUGUUGACGAAAGUAAAAUAGACUUAAAGAGUUUUAGCCCAAAGCAAACAAACAGCCCAAUAAAUAAAUGAGUUAAUGAAAACAAGGCUUUGUCUAACAUGAACAAGUCUUCCAAGUUGUGCAUGGUGCACAAGUAGCGAUUUAUAUUAUAACAAAUACGAAUUUUACAAAAUUUACCAUUGAAUUGAAAGUUUAUAUCAUAUAGAUCAUCUAUAAACUAUUUGAUAUAUAUAAACUAUCAAUCCAACGAUGAAUUUUGUAAAAUUCGUAUUCGUUAUAAUAUAAAUCGCUACUUGUGCACCAUGCACAACUUGAAGGACUUGUUCAGGUUAGAAUUGGCCUUUGGCUAACAUGCACGAGUGCACCAUAUGGUGCACGGUGCACAAGUUAGCGAUUUCAUUAUAACGAAUACGAAUUUUACAAAAUCUACCGUUUGAUUGAAAAUUUAUAUCAUAUAGAUCGUCCAUAAUUUUUUUUUUUGGAAAAAUUGAAAAUCAUUUGAUAUGUUAUUGAAACCGGUCAAAUUUAACGGUUUAUAAAUUUCUAUUAAAUACCGUUAAUCUUUAUGAGUCUCAAUAAGAUAUCAAAUGAUUUUUAAUUUUUUUAUUAAUGAUCUAUAUGACAUAAACUUUUAAUCGAACGGUGAAUUUUGUAAAAUUCGUAUUCGUUAUAAUAAAAUCGCUAACUUGUGCACCAUGCACCGUGCACCGUAUGGUGCACUUGUGCAUGUUAGAACUUGCCUAUAUUUAACCUUAAUUUUAAUCGUGUCUUCUAAUCAAUAAUAUAUGUAUACUACUCCAAAAAUAUUAUAUUCCACUUGAAUUUAAUUUAUAUGUACCGUCAGUGUAAAGUUAUUUUACAUAUGCAUCCAAUAAUAUACUGACACAUCAUGUAUGAUAAUUAAAAACACAUGAUGUGUCACAUUCAUUAAAUAAUGUGGCAACUCAUCAUUGGAUGUAUUUACACCGACAGUGCACAACAAUUAAACUCUAUUUCACUUUGUAAUAACAUAAUAGUUUUUUUUUUUUUUUCGCCAAUUAGUCGAGUAACUAGACNNNNNNNNNNNNNNNNNNNNNNNNNNNNNNNNUACCCACUCUAAAAAAUAAACUACCCACUAUCAAUUAUGUAAUUUUAUAUUUAAUAACCACUUUAAAAGCUAAUUUUACCAAACACUUUAAUUUUAAUAAGCUAGCUUUUCAGCUAUCAGCUAUAAGCUAGUUUUUCAGCUAUCAGCUAGCUUAUCAGCUAUCAGCUAACUUAUAGCUUAUUUUUACCAAACAGACCCUAAGUGUGGUAGCAAAGAAUUCAGAUUUUGAAUACCAGACUUUUAAAUAAUUUCUUCAGCUAACAAUUGAGUUACAUUUUUUUUUUUGUUUUGACAAAAACAUAAUAGUUAUUAUUAGUUAAUAUAAAAGUGUGUAUAUCUUUCAUUGCAAAAAAAAAAAAAAGUAUGUAUAUCUUUUAAGUAUGUAAAAACUUUAAAUGAUAGUACAUCUUUAAAACCGAUGAAGUAUUUUGACAUUCAUUCUUUGUUAUUGCAUUUUUCCUAGUUCAAAUUAGAUUUUAUAAAACUAAACUAUUUUCUUUACCUUAUACGUUGGAACGAUCAUGUUGGUGUAAUUGAAUAUUUGAACAUGUUGAGAGUGAAAUUGUUGUUAGCUAAAUAAUUCACAUUUGGUUUGUUCGAAAUUUUCAGAGAAACAAACGAAAAAGACGUGGCAUUCAAAAUAUUGUAUUGUGGGAUAUGUCACUCAGAUCUUCACCUGAUGAAAAACGAAUGGGGCAUGUCCAACUAUCCGCUAGUACCUGGGUAUGCUUUAAUUCAAAUUACUACUCACCAAUAUCACAGGCUAUGUCUAUUAAUUUAAAUAUAACUUAUAAAAGAAAUACAGGCAUGAAAUUGUCGGAAUAGUGACAAAGGUGGGAAGCAAAGUAGAAAAGUUCAAAGUUGGAGACAAAGUAGGUGUUGGCUACAUAAUUGACUCAUGCCGAUCUUGUCAAAAUUGCACUGAAAAUCUUGAAAGUUAUUGUCCCCAACAUAUACCCACAUGUGGUGCCAAGUAUCGUGAUGGCAUCACAUAUGGAGGUUACUCUGACUCAAUCGUUGUAGACGAGCACUUUAUAGUUCAUAUUCCUGAUGGUUUACCACUUGAAGUUGUUGCUGUUGGCGCAGUAGAAGCAAGAGUUUGCUUGGUUCAGAGGAUGCAACAUUCAGAGGUUGUGUUGCCUCUGACUCUGAAGUGGUUCAGAGGAUGGAUUGCAGGCAAGCUCAGCAGGCACGCAUGCUUGACCUUGGGCAAACUAGCAGUUUUGCAGAAACUGCUAUAUACAAGAUGAACAAGUUUCUUGAUGAAAUUGAUUAACAACUGAGCAUGAAAGACUUAGGGAAAUAGAGAUUUUAUUCUUCCUUAAUGGNNNNNNNNNNNNNNNNNNNNNNNNNNNNNNNNNNNNNNNNNNNNNNNNNNNNNNNNNNNNNNNNNNNNNNNNNNNNNNNNNNNNCUUCGAUAUCUUAGGCUCGACAAGCCCGGUCUACAUAUAGGUGUUGUUGGUCUUGGUGGACUUGGUCACAUGGCUGUUAAGUUUGCCAAAGCUUUUGGUGCUAAUGUGACUGUAAUUAGUACAUCACCUAACAAAGAAAAGGAAGCAAUAGAACAUUUAGGAGCUGACUCAUUUUUAAUAAGCCAAGACCAAGCUAAGAUGCAGGUACAAAUACAAUAGUUUCAGCUGAUCAAUAUAUUCAUAUUCAAUAUUUUAAUAUUCUUAAAUUCGAAAUGGUAAUAUAGGCUACAAUGGGUACUUUGGAUGGUAUCAUUGAUACAGUUUCAGCUGAUCAUCCUCUCUUACCUCUUAUUGGAUUGUUGAAAUCUCAUGGAAAACUUGUAAUGGUUGGUGCUCCAAUGAAGCCUAUGGAGCUCCAUGUCUUUCCUUUACUUUUGGGUAAGCUAGAAGCAAUACCAAACUGAAUAAAACUUAAAAUUUAUAGCUUAUCAUUUUUCUGUCAUUUCAAACAUAUUAUUUAUAAACUAUAGUUCAACCGGUAAUUUUAUUAAAUACUGCAAAUUUAAUCUAUUAGUUUAGUCAAUAUAAGCUAGCUAUGAGCUAUAUAAACAUUUUUAUAAUGCUAACAUUCAUGACAGGGAGAAAGAUGAUAGUUGGAAGUUUUAUUGGAGGAAUGAAAGGAACUUCAAGAUAUGAUUGAUUUUGCUGCUAAACACAAUGUAAAACCUACCAUUGAAGUCAUUCCUAUGGAUUAUGUUAACAUUGCAAUGGAGCGACUCCUCAAAGCAGAUGUCAAAUAUCGAUUUGUGAUCGACAUUGGGAACACUCU
rnacentral:lncRNA from 1 species